GGGCCUGCAGGGGAGGGAACACAGGUACCGUCAGCAACUUGGCCAGCUCGGGGCGAGAUCUGGGCCUCUCGUUCCCGAUCCCCAUCUCCCAACGAAAUCUGUCUCUUCAGAAAUUACAUUAGACACUUACACCUCAGUGUGAAUAUUGAGGUAACGCGUUAAGUCACCGAGGGUCACUCCCAUUGGAAGCUUGGGCUUUCAUUGUAGAAAAAAGUCAUUUCUGCCCAUUAAAAGAAUUUCACGUAUGUGAAUGUGUGGAGGAGGCUCUUGGUGGGAAAGGAAGUUGAGGAAGAAAUAAGAAACUCUACUAAGCUAGCUUGUCCAGCAUUGGGGGAGAGCGUAGUGGAAACCCCUCGCCCCGAGUAAAAGAGCGAUAGCACUGUGGGAGGCAUGCUAGAUUAGGGGCAGAAGAAAGACAAAUGGUAGAAAGAUUGCUUUCCUUUAAUAAACGGACCCGCCUGCUCUCUGCUUCAAAGGGAAGAGGAACAGAUCGCCUGAAAUUUCUACAGCAUUUACCUGGAACUCUCAGAGACUCGGACCUCCCCCCCUUUGCCCACUCUGAUUUUACCAUGGGCUUGUGUUGUGUGUUGCAUGAAGGACGGUGGCUCCUGUGUUCAGAACCAGCCCUGGAAAAGCUCACAAACCGAGGCAAUUGCAAAGCGUAUUAGAGGCACGCGGCGUACGUUAUGUCCCCGGUUGAUAGCCUUUGGCACCUGGUCAUUUGCUUCUAGGGAAAGUUAAAAGCAGGUUAUAAUUUUACUUUUAGUGAAGGAGGGGUUUUUAAAAAAUGAAAAUCAUUUUCUUAUAUCAAAUCCUACAGAUGCUGUGUAAAAAUCCAAAUAAAUUCAGAAAAGUAUAAAGAAGUGGAAAAAAAUAAAAGCAACCUUAAAAUCUGACCUAAAGACAUUUGGGUAGGUUCCCGUCUGGGACCGUUAUGAAUAGCGCUGCUGUGAACAUUCUUCUGCACGUUUGUGGUGAAUAUAUAUACACGUUCCUGUUGGUGCAGUCAUUUUAAUGAUUAUGAAGAACAAAACCAAGUCAGGAGUCUGCCUCCAGAAUUGGAAACAUCACCUCGGUCCCCAGUUCUGUUCAUCUGUGAAUACACUGUUUUCACAGAGGAAGGAUUGAAGGAAAGGAACAGACAGGGAGUGGGAAGCCCCCCGGCCCUCCCAAGCUGAAAAGGACAAAUUUGGCAUCACGCUGGGAACCUAGAAUGAAAACUCUGUACCCAUUAGACCACAGCUCCCAACUGCCCCCUCCCUGCAGCCCCUGGCAACCAGCAUUCUACUUUUUGUUCCUGGGAAUUUGAUUACUCCUGGUAUCUCGGCUCGUCACUCAGAACAGACCUGAACUGAAAUCUCUCACAUGAUCCAAUAGCAUGUAGACAGACGCAGGAAUCAAAGAUGAAGCCAAAAAGACCAGGUUGGGAGGUGAGGUGCAGGAUGGGGGGGACGGUAAUACAUGUGUCAUAGAGGGCUUGGGAAGAGAGGCCUGAGGUCUUCCUGAUGGGUGGUGGCCCCAUAUUCAUGGGUGAUCGGAGUAGGUUAGAGGAAAAGGGUCAGUGUAGACCAUGCUUCAAGGUCAUGAAUCAGGACCCACCUUUCCCUAGAAGUCCAUCCUGCCUACCUCAACCCCAUAGACCCUUGGUUUUUCUCCAACCAACAUAUUCUCCCCUAAUGUCCUCACAGAUGACCUUGCCUUAUAGGAGAUGACUUUUGACUUGGGUCUUGUCUUGCAAGUGAUAAUAGCCCACCCUCAUAGAGCACAGCCUAUGUGUCCAACCCUGUUCUAAGCCUGGGUAUAUAUUCAAUUAUUUAAUCCUCACAGCGACCCUAUAUGGAAGGUGCUAUUUCUCUACCCUUUCUACCAAGAGGAAUUGAGACACAAACUGAUUAAACAAGUUGCCCAAAGUUCACACUGUGGUAGGGCCCAGAUUCAAACCCAGGCACUCUGGUGUCAGAAUCUAUGCUUGUAACCAUCCUAAGUGGAAUGGAAGCCCCUUAGAGGCCCCGUUUCCAUCUACCGCCCGCACCCCCCCCCCAACUAACCCAUGGAAAAUCUCAGAAUCUUAGUGUCAUCCCUACAGAACUGUGGGCGGUAGGACUGCUGACCAGAACUGCCCUGUCCCUGGCUAUGUUACAGUUCAGGUUAGGGGCACUUGGGCUUCAUAAAGGUGUUAUGUCCCCUUACAGGUUUCAUGGCCAAGGCCACUUUUGUGGUCCUUCUGUGCAUGGCCUUUCUGUGCAACUUAUCCUCCUGCGGUGAGGGAAGAAAAGCACCUCUUUCUGCCAAGGAGUGUUGGUGUAUCUGCUCGCUCUCCAGGAAAGAUGUGGCCAGAGCUGUGCACGCCCAUGUCACCUGCAGUCUAGACGUGGACCCCAAACAGAGGGUGGCAGGGCAGGCAGGUUUUCCCAGGGCCGGGGUGUCCCGGGGGUGCUGGGGAACUGGGAGAUGCUGUCCCCACCGCCUUAGGGGGGAGCAGGAAGGCAAGAAUUUAGCUUCGCAAACAGAUGGAGAUUUACACGGUAAAUUACUGCCCUUUCACUGCUGGUUUCUUAGGAAGGAGAGGAAGGGAGAGGGGGAAAAACAAGAGCUCGACCUCCUCCUGGGGCAGCAUGAAUUAAGCGUGGGUGACAAGAAGUUCUGCCCAGCUCAGUCUCCCGAAGUGCACUACCCAGAGCCUUUCCUCACACACCGGGCAUUUGGGGUUUGAUUUGCGUCAAGCACAGAGUUAGUGCUGGGAGUGUUUUGACUCUCAUCUGGAAGUGAGUCGUGGCAUUCUACUGUCACGAGGGCAAAAACCAGCCCUAAACUCUACACGGAGAGCAGCAAGGUUAUCACUUAGCUGCUUGAUGCUGGGGCCAGCCCAGUCACUCCUGCACAUUCUAACCCCCUCAAAAUCGAGUCAGGGUGAUUUACGCCAGGUUAGAAGUAAAAAGGCUGCUUUUAGUUAUUUCACGCCAUGUGUCUCCUACAGGGUGGCCAGCUGGGGAAACACCUGUGUGGGCUGCUCAGGUUUUUGUACUGAUUUGCAAAGGCUCCCACUGAUCCAAAUGUCAUAGCCGGUCUGGUAUUCAAAGUUGAAAUUCCUUGAUGCGGGUCAACUAUCUUGUGCAAACGGAACCUGAUGACAGUCUCCGCAGAGGAGCAAGUAUGAAGUCUGAUUCUAAAGUGACAUGACAGAUCUCCAAACAAAGAAAUUAGAACUUGCGUGUUUGCAGUGGUUACCUGUGAGGUUGACGCUGACAUUUUUCUUGCUCACAACAGCUUUGGAAUCUUUCUCUGCAACUCCAGAACUUACAGUACCUUCUUUUUUUUGCAUGCCUGCGAAGCAGCAAAGGCUUGUUUUUCUGAAGGUGGGUUUAAAUUUUGGAAAACGUCAAAAAUAGUUCAAAGCCACGUCUGGCGAAUCAGGCCAAUAAUCAGGGUGAGUGAUCUCAUUUGCUACUUGAAGCCAAAAAGCGUAACUAUGAAGUCAUGUAUCUGAUGUCCCUCCUGGACUAGCCCUGAAGACCUCCAAAAGGAACAGGGCUGUUUUUAGGCAGUCAUAGCAUUCUGCAUUAUUGAUGUCAACUUUGAAGGGCCAGUAUUUACUUGGCUAAAUAGGUUGUGAAUUACUUUUUUAUUUAAAAAAAAAAUCAGCCUUAUUACUUAAAAUCAUACAUAUUUAUGUAAAACCUCUUCCUCUCAAAUAACCAUGUGAUUCUUGUUGGUGUAUAAGCGUAUUACCUAGCACUGUUUUUCCUGUAUUUAUCAUAGGCCAUUAAUUUAUUUCAAUAGUCCCUACCAUUGCUCCUGAGUUUUCCUUGGCAGAAGUCCAGUUCCUGAAUGUACUGCCGAGCAAGGAGCAAGUAGUUUAUCAUAACAAGGGGCUGGGAUUAUUGUUGAGAAAAGCAGAGGGAGGUCACGUCUACACUGCACACUCCCCCCGCCCCCCCCCCCGCCCCAGCCCAGGCCAGCUGAGCUGCAGUCAAGCGGCUGGAAUUUGCUUUGGGCUUCUCUUCUAUCCAGUGCAGUCUUUCAGGGAGGUCAUCCCAUGCUGUUCCGUUCUUUGUGGUUUACUGAGUCCUCACCUGUGCCUGGUGUCCGGCUGGGCACCUCCGAGAAGGGGAACGUGGUUGUCCCCUUCGAGUCAAGGUGUGGGAAAGGCAAGUACCGUGAAGGAGGCACAGAGGAUGCCGUAAGGUUAUGUGAAGGGAGAGACCCGACCGUGGAGGCAGAAGAAGGGGCAGAAGGGGGGUGACAUCUGAGACACAGCCAUCAGAGGGUGGUGAUGGCAGGUUGGCUGGAGCGGGCUUGCUGCAGGACCCGAGGCCACCAGCCCUUCCUCGGAGAGCGGAGUCCCCAGCCAAGCCCUGACAGCUGGGCCGGUUCUGCGUCUGGGAUUACAGCAUUCGGUGAGAAGUUAAUCACAAACAUGAAUCAGCCUUGUUUUUUCCUUCCCAGCUCGGCUCCCGAGCUCUGCAGGGGAGUGGGCAGGGCCCCUCACGGAUGUACAGGAAGUCAUACUGGGGGGAAACAUGAAGCCAGCCAUUUCUCACUGGAGCCAAGCUGUUACCUGUGUCUGGGGAUUGCCCGGGGACUGACUACGCUACCUAGGGGCAGAAUCCCCUCAGCAUGGCCGGCACGAAGGAGAACUGUUUCACGGGCCAACUGACUUGUUCGUUUCCACCCAGGCUGGUGCCCACUGGGCAGUUUGACGAGUCAGGGAGCCCCACCCCAGCUCUGCAGCUCCCCCUGGGCUGAACUACACCUAGGUCAGAAACCCUCCCUGGCUAAGGUUUCUGUUCUCUCUUCUCCCAUCCCCAGGGGUCAGUUUACAUAGAAAACCCACUUCUCUUCCAAACCAGCAGGACUGGGUUGAGACCCUCGGUUCUGCCAAAAACCCCUCCCUCCCCAACCCUCUGUAGGAAUGUCCCACGAUCUCCCUACCCUCACGUUCCCUCACAUUCGCACUGCUUCAGCGCUGCAGUCAUCCCACGGGCUGAUAUUUGCAGGCUGGUUGUCACUUACAAACACUGGUGACGGGGUCAGCGUCCUCUGUGCUGGCACCCCUUUGCCCUCUGUUGACAGAUUUGGUAAAUGCCGCCCGUGGUUGUGUCCAUGCUGACCCUACAGGGCAGCCAUUUAGCGAAUGCUGUGCUUGGCUCAGAGUGAUGCCAUCACGAAAUAUUUUCCUUCCUUCUGAAUUCCGUUUGCGAAACCCUCAGCUGCCAGCAGUUCUUGACAAAGCAAAGGCCUCAAUGUCAUCAGAGGGAAGUAAUCCUCCCCAGAAUCUUAGUAAAUCUCAGUAGGUUGCCGGGACUGCGAAGUAUUUCAUUUCUUUGUUUCUUUUCGUUUUUUUUUUUUUUUUUUUAAGGCAUUAAAGUUACUGCAUACAAGAAGUUAAUCAGAAAGCUUUAGUGACUUGGACUUCAGAGGUGAUUACACAAGCCCACAAAUGUUCAAGAAAUUCUCUGAGUUUGAGUGUCGCAUCUAUUUAUGUAGCAAAAGGAAUCCGAUUCUUUUUUCCCUCUGCCCCAGGAAAGUUCCAUCUGGGAAAUAGGCACUAGGGAGUGCUAGAACCAACAGGGUUUCUUACUGUCAAAACCUAAAGCAAGUCAGUCCCACCCCUGGCAUCAAAAAAAAAAGUGGAUUUGAGUGGCUUGAUCCAGAAAGGAGAACUUGCAAAGGGGGUGGCAUGGUCCAGAAUCCAGUGAGACGGGUAGAUGGAGAUCAAGAUGUACCGGGAGAGGCCUGAGUAGGCGUGGGAGGAGCACACAGGAAAAGGCAUGAAAAACAUUCAAGGAGCUGUUCUCCCUUCCAAGCGCACUGAGUGGCUACAGGAAAGGGUCAAGAUAAUGUGUGCGAACAGACAUCAGUGUGUCCUUUCAGCCUAGACAAACAUACACCAGAGGUUGUGCACACACUGUGACCUCAACGUCAAAGUCACUCGUUAUCAACAAAGCCCGCACUCACAUCUGGACAAAGGCCGAAAGAUCGCCCACAGAUGCGCUCGCCCACCCCCACCUGAGACAUGAAUAAACAAGCAUGCUGUCCAAAGCUGUCCCCUCUAUCUGUAACAGACUGCAGGGAUCUUCUCUCGGGCUUCUCCCGGUGUCUUUCAAAGUGAAUUGUUUGCUCAGACCUCCGUUUUGACUUUCAACACAAUCGAACACAUUAGCAGACCCGCUUAGGUGGGGUUUGCCAGGCUGUGGGUUGGCAUCCUUUGGUGGGAGAAGGGGCGUGGUGGAGCACUCGGUGAUGAUGUUGGAUGGGGCGGUCCUACAGGCAGUUUCCUGUUUCAGAUGAGACUUGAGACCACGCCCCUGGGAAAUGGAGGUCGUCUGGGUUCUUCAAAAACCCUGUAGCUUGGCCAACUUCUAACCCAAAUUUUUAUUCCUGUCCGCCUGAAAGCCCCCAGAAGCUUUCACCUGAAUGAAGCCCACCUCAGGCACUGUUGUUUUGCAUGUUCCACAGCUAAGGAGUCCCAGCAAGAUGCAGCUGGCUUUCCAGGUAAAGGAACAAGGUCGGUUUUUGUUUUUUUGUUUUAAUGUAUCAGAUUUCCUUCAUAUGGAUUCAAGUGAAGAAAUUCGUCUUUUAAUUCUGAAGGAUGAUUUCAAAAAAUACUAACGGACAUCUCUAUAAGGAAAAUAGAAAUAACUUUUGUGAAUUUUUCAGCCACUUUUCCUAACACUGCCCUUUUAUUCAUCUGGUCUUUAGACGUAAAGCACACAUUUAAGUGCCCUCGUUUACAGGGGACUAGAUACACAGACAUCCCCUCAGCCCCUGCUGAGGGAUUGUUGGUGUAUGGAACCAACAUGUCUUGAAGACUCGUGUUCAAGGAAAUGUCAGAGUGGAGGAAAUGGUGUGCGGUACGCAGCCUUCCAGCAGCUUCUAUCACCAUCCAUUCUGUCCAUCACGCUCAGUAAUGGGAGAGGAGCAACAUUCCACACAUGGGGAAUCAGAGGCCUUUCCAGAGAAGCUAGAGUGCUUAUCCACCGAGGGAGUGAUCUGGUGCCAGUAACUGAAAAAAUGUUGCAGAAUGUUCAGUACAAAAGUGAUCCGCUAAUGGGCCUACAACCCCCAGAAGACCCAGCACUUUUUCAGAUGUACAAGAAGCAACUGAACAGCUCAGAGGUCCAUCCUCAUCCAAAAUUUAUAACACAAUCAAUCCAUUCCAUAUGUUCCUGCAACUGGAAGAGAUUUUGAGUGUGUUUAAAUGCUGAUGAAAAAGAGCUAGUCACAAAGAAGAGAGGUCAAAGAUACAGGAAAGAGGAAGACCAAUGGGAGGAAGACCCAGGAAGAGGCAGGGCGUAGAAUCAAGAACAGGCACCAGGACUGGUCAUAAAGAGUUGGAAGGCAGCCUCUUUUACUGUCCCAGGAGGGAAGCUACCGGUGGGUUUGUAGCUUUGCAAGGAGUAAAGGAUUCUGGGACUGGACACCAUCACACCCAUUUCUGUGUAUAGGGAAGAGUUCUCCCAGAUCACCCCAGUAUUUUUGCAAGUGCAACACUGUACUGUGCCUGUCCAAGGGGGAGAGAACAAGGGUGAGAGGUCCAGGCUCUAAAAGGAGCAAAGUUAUAUGAGCAAUUCCUUACAUUUGUAGGUUGGGUUGUUUUUGGUUUUGGUUUUGUUUUCCCUAAACAUUUCACUUUGGAGUGCUUGGGUUUAAUCAGAGAAGCCGGGAAACGUUCUGGGGAUGUCAUCUCACAGACUGCCCAGAGAAGACAGAUUCAGGAGAUUCGGGAGCGGAACCCCCAGAACCCCCUCUAGGGGCUGUGAGGAGCUAUCAGUCUGGGCCUGGGUGUAAUGCCCUCCCUCUCAGGAGGAAGGAUGCCAGGGGGAGCUGCUGCCUAACACAUACUGUGUUCGACCCGGAAAUAAUCCUUUCAGUGUGAGUAUGCAAAUGAUGUCCUUCCUCUAUCAGUUUGAAAAUGAAAUCAUGUUGGGGCGCCUGGGUGGCGCAGUCGGUUAAGCGUCCGACUUCAGCCAGGUCAUGAUCUCGCAGUCCGUGAGUUCGAGCCCCGCGUC